UUACCUGGGCUUGAACUGUACAUGACAGGUGUAGAGAUACACCCUUCUUCGGACAUGUAUAGAGGUGCUGCAUGGCUGUCGUCAGGUCGUGUCGUGAGAUGUUGGGUUAAGUCCCGCAACGAGCGCAACCUUUACCCCUUGUUGCUAACAGGUAAAGCUGGGCACUCUAGGGGAACUGCCGGUGAUAAACCGGAGGAAGGUGGGGAUGACGUCAAGUCAUCACGGCCCUUAUGUCCAGGGCUACGCACGUGCUACAAUGGCCGGUACAAAGAGACGCAAUGCCGCGAGGUGGAGCAAAUCUCAAAAAACCGGUCUCAGUUCGGAUUGGAGUCUGCAACUCGACUCCAUGAAGCUGGAAUCGCUAGUAAUCGUAGAUCAGCACGCUACGGUGAAUACGUUCCCGGGCCUUGUACACACCGCCCGUCACACCAUCUGAGUUGGCAGCACCCGAAGUGGCUGAACUAACCGCAAGGAAGAAGGUUACUAAGGUGAAGUCGGUGAAGAGGGUGAAGUCGUAACAAGGUAGCC
rnacentral:rRNA from 1 species